rnacentral:ncRNA from 1 species
UAUUAUACAUUGAUAAAGAAGAGUAGCUUUAAGUACUUUAUAAAGAGAGAUGAUGGAUGGUGCAAAUCAUUAAGAACUUAUAGUGAAGGGAGCUUUUGAGUAUAUUUUAGUAGAGCUGAGCUAUUGCUAAUAAGGGUGGAACCGCGGAAUGUUAUUUCGUCCCUUAA